GGUAGUAGUCGGAGUUGAGCUCAUUAUGAAAACCUGACUGGUUUGUGAUGGGGUGUUCUCUUUCACAUUUAACCGGUUCUUUAGCAGCCAUGACAUUGUCAUCUUCUCUUUUCUUCAUUUGUCGCAGACCUGAUCCUCAAUUUCCAUCUAGUCCUUCUGGAUAUUCCAGCACUCAAAUCAGGACAUCGUCCGGUUGAAACCCAUGUCAUGUUCAGGAGCCGGUUGGUCGUGAGAAUUAUUCAUUUUUUUCGAAAUAAUUUCACUUUAUUACUCUAUUUAAAAUCAGUGUUCGGCUAUACAAUUUCCA
rnacentral:misc_RNA from 1 species